rnacentral:rRNA from 1 species
UGGGGAAUAUUGCACAAUGGGGGAAACCCUGAUGCAGCGACGCCGCGUGAGCGAAGAAGUAUUUCGGUAUGUAAAGCUCUAUCAGCAGGGAAGAAGAAAGACGGUACCUGACUAAGAAGCCCCGGCUAACUACGUGCC